rnacentral:lncRNA from 1 species
CUCUGAUUGACUUCUUCCCAGAUCUUCUGGGCUUAGUGGCUGAAGACUGACACUGCCCGAUCACCUGAGAAGCCUCCUGGACCAUCACAGAUGCUUUAGGCUCUAGGGGAUGGUAGAGUCACAGGAUGGAAGAACUCUGUGUCCUUGAAUCAUUGCAUGGAAGAGAACUGGAAGUUGCCCAGGAACACCAGCCUUGGACAGUUAUGUGAACAAGAAAUAAACUUCUUUUACAGUGUCAUUUAUGUUUUUGAGCAUCUUUGUUACAGCGGCU